rnacentral:lncRNA from 1 species
UUCAUCUACAUUAAACAAAAAAAUACAAUAAAUAAUUAAAAAUAAAUUAUCGUUGACAUAUAUACAAUCACGAUAUUCAUUAUAUUUAUUUAUAAGAAUAAAAAUAAAUUAUCGUGACAUAAAAUAUACAGUCGACCAAAAGAUGAGAAUCAAACAAACAUUUCUUAUUUUCAAAUACUUUUUGUACAAUCUAUAAAUUUUACGCUAAUAAAACCAAAAUAAAUACAAAAUUCGUGCAACGCACGAGACGCAGACUAGUAUAGAGCAAAGUCCACAAGUUCAUGUCCCAAAACAUCACCAGCUCACCAACAACAUUCAGAACAGGCACAAAGCUAACAUGUAUGAUAAGGUCAAUUCCUGACACUAGGAUGUUAAUCUAUGAGAAAAACAACUGCCAGCCUCUGACAAAAUCAAUUUAAGUAAAUCUAGUUAUGAGUCGAGAUUCAUAAAUAAAAUCUUACCUAAUCGAAAUGAGAACUAUCCCAAUGCCUCAAUAAAGGGCAUUGACUGGAUAUCGCCUGCAUGAUGAAAGAUCUUUCUUUCGAAGCAACCAAUGUUAAGUACAAUUUAUUUUAAUACAAGUGAAACAACUUUCAUACUAAUAGUGCCACCCAAUUCUAUGACACAAACAUCAGAUGUACCCUUUUUUCCAUCAACCGGUAUAAGCGCCACCCAUUUAAUUUACUCUUGAAUAGCAUUAGUAAUGUGAGGUACAACGUAAAUGAGAGAAGAAGUAUAAAAUUAUGCACCAAUAUGGACAAUACAACAGAAAAGCAAUUAAAGAACCAAUGUGGGAUUUGGGAAUAAACUAUUAUAUUCAUGGUAUCAUUUCCAAUUUACCACACAUGCAUAAAUCACUCAAAAAAUAAUUAUUAAAGUCCACAUUUUAGGCUUUACCCUCCUCCCCUUUUCUCUAUCUAUUUAAUACCUACCGAUCCAGAAUCACUAUCCAUUACAUUGUACAUCAAAAACAUUUACAACUGGCCACCACCAAUCAUCACCAAUGGAACAGGAUUACCAUUCGUGAAACAACCACUGUCAUUAAUCUCCUCCUAGAAUGAAUGCUAUUAUGAGAAAAAAAAUAAAAAUAAAAAAAUAAAACCACAUAAAUUUACAUAACUAAAGAUCCAACAACCAAAAGAACGCCAUAUUGUCCAACGAAGGAAGUACUUCAAUGCCGAAGCUAUCAAUAUGGGCCCAAGUCAAUUAGUAAAUAAAGCAAACAAGCAAGCAAUUAGUAAAUACAGCAAAUUGAAAAAUUUUUACCAAGUCAGUGGACAUAACAAUGAAACAAUAACUAAAUCUAAUGAAAUAAGUAAAGACCUUUACCUUUCCCUCAACUUCCUAGAGAAUCCCAUCUUCUAUUUCCUUGUAUGGAAAUGAGUCUAAGAGAAGUUCAUUACCCACAAAAUUAUAAAUAAGAUUAUUAACGAUGGUGUAUACAAUAACUGGUCAUGGUAAAAUUUCUAAUCUACAACUAUUUCAACAGUGUAAAAUUCCUUGAUGACCACAUUCAUGGAACAAAAUAUACCUAGAGGAAGACGAAGUUUCGAGCUAAUCUUAUUCAUUUUUAUAAUAUAACUCACACAGAACUUAUAAAUCACGAUUCCUUUCGCUGCUACCCCCAGAUCAAGUUAACUUGAAGCACGAACUCUUGGGCAAUGACAACAAGACAUAUCAUCAUAUAUACUACAGUAUAGAAGAUAAAGGAUUCCUUUUACCAGUAUCCUUUGGUAGAUCCUCUAUCCUUGUAAGGCUUUAAAAAAAAAAGAAUAAUUUUGUAGAAUAAAUGACCCAUUAAAUCAGCAUCAAGAACUUGAUCCAAUGCAAUAUAAUACCAUCCAAUAAAUCAGCAAUGAAAACUUGAUUUGUUAAAAAAAUAAUAAUAAAUAAAUUCACAACUACCAUAAAAGAUUCAAUAUUCAAGAGAAAAACACGAAUUUAGAUCAGUCGAAAAAAAUACUACAAACAAGAAAAACAUUUGAUCUUUGAGGCAAAAAAUCGUGUAGCAUAAAACAAAAGUAAAUUAGAUAUUUCUAGCAGUACAUCUAUUAAAUAAUUCAGUAAAGCAAAACAUCUAACUAAAGGAUUUAGUUUAUACCAAUACUUCAUGAAUAAUUAAAAAUACGAGUAAUGAUGAAAAUUAAAUAGUCUAUUAAAUUAUAAACCACAGCCUUAGAAACCAAUACUGCACCUCAAAAGACAAUAAACAAUGGAGGGAUUAUAUUCCUGAAAAGAUUUAAAUACCGAUCGCAUAGGUCCUGAAUUGCAGAUAGUGGCUGCCUAUCCCUGGGAAUAUUAGGAAACCAGCUGAGCAAAAACCCUAACCAUUAGAACCCUGCUGUAAAUGUCAGCCAUUUCACCAUUCCGGCCGCCAUACCUGUGAAUAGCGUGUUGAACGACCCGGUGGGAACGUCUUUCAUCGUGGCGAAGAAUGCUAGCCCAGCGGUACAAACCAGGGGUGAUUUCAAUUGCACGGCUAAGCUUAGGAUUCCUCCGGCAAAGAAUUUUGAGGCAAUUAAGGCUGUGUCCAAGAGAGUAGUUAGUGUCUGAGUCGACCCAGAGAGCAAAUCUUGAGAAGGGUUUUGGAUUUUGGCAGACUUUAUUACUGGGUUUGCAAAUGGUGCUGCAACAGAGGACAAGAUUCUUGAUUUAGAGCAUUUCGGGUAUGGGGAGAAAGGGAGGAAUUUGGGUUUUGAGAGGACGGGGAGGAGAUGGUAGUUAUCGGCGACGGGAAAUAAGAGAACGGUGGGAGAGUUGUGGUGGGAGAGAAAUCGAUGAGAGAAGAAGCCAUAUAAUUGGAGGAAAUACACGAAAUGGCCGUUGGACUUUAGCAAAUUUUGACAUUGGCAU